UGCAGUCGAACGGAUCCUUCGGGAUUAGUGGCAGACGGGUGAGUAACGCGUGGGAAGCUACCUUGUGGUAGGGGACAACAGUUUGAAAAGACUGCUAAUACCCUAUGAGCCCUAUGGGGGAAAGAUUUAUCGCCAUGAGAUGUGCCCGCGUUAGAUUAGCUAGUUGGUAAGGUAAUGGCUUACCAAGGCGACGAUCUAUAGCUGGUCUGAGAGGAUGAUCAGCCACACUGGGACUGAGACACGGCCCAGACUCCUACGGGAGGCAGCAGUGGGGAAUAUUGGACAAUGGGGGCAACCCUGAUCCAGCCAUGCCGCGUGUGUGAUGACGGCCUUAGGGUUGUAAAGCACUUUCAGCAGUGAAGAUAAUGACAUUAACUGCAGAAGAAGCCCCGGCUAACUUCGUGCCAGCAGCCGCGGUAAUACGAAGGGGGCUAGCGUUGUUCGGAAUCACUGGGCGUAAAGAGUACGUAGGCGGACUGAUAAGUUAGGGGUGAAAUCCCAAGGCUCAACCUUGGAACUGCCUUUGAUACUGUCAGUCUUGAGAUCGAGAGAGGUGAGUGGAACUCCGAGUGUAGAGGUGAAAUUCGUAGAUAUUCGGAAGAACACCAGUGGCGAAGGCGGCUCACUGGCUCGAUACUGACGCUGAGGUACGAAAGCGUG
rnacentral:rRNA from 1 species